UCAUACUAUAAAGUUCAAAAUAAAAUAAGUCUAUUACACAUAUCCUUAAAAUAUUAUAAAAAUUAGAUCUUGUUUAAUAUUUUUCAUGUAACCACAAACAUAUCUAAAAUCAAAGCAAAUAUGAGCACAUAGGUAUUAGAACUUACCGGAGAUCCGAAGGAAGGCAACACUAGACAGUAGAUUAAUCAACGUAGUGGAUCACCGAUGGAUUCCUGAGGAGAAAUAACAAAACAUCAAUAUAACAAAACAUUAAAAAAAAUGUACAUAUGUACAUAGUAUGUACAUAGUAAUAAUAAAGUGAAAAUAUAGAGUAUCUACCAUUUAUCAUCUACCAUUGAUAAAAUAUUGUUGGAAAAUAUCAAUUUCUAAAUUUAUAAAGAAAAUUAAAGUUAGAAUUUUUUAUGCAGAAAUAAUUUAAGAUUCAAAUAUUGAGCAAUUAAUUAAUUACAAAAAAUAGUAUCAUAAUUGAGGUAGGAGAGAAACAAUAGGAAGUGGAGAAAGGAGAGAAAAUAAGCUUGAGUAGAAGCCAUUGGAGCGUAGUAAUAAUAAUUAAGUUUAUAGUAAAAAAGAAAAAAAGAUGCAUAUGAAAUGAAAUGAAAUACACAACAAUAAGAAAGAUAAAUUUAUAGACCUUUCAUAAUUAAAGGUUUUAAAACGUUGCAAAAACUUUUGAAAUGCCCACCAUAUAUAUAUAAUUAUUUGGUAUUUAAAUCUCUCUAAUUUAAUAGUAACGGUUGAGUAGUGACCCUAUGUAACGUUUGAGAUUGACUUUAUUGUUAGAAGACCAAAAGACAAAAAAAAUAAAAAUAAAACCUCAAUAUAUAUAGAAUUAGGCUGGAAUACUAUUAAUAGUAAAACGUUCUUUUUGCUAUAAAGUUUUUAACCCUUGGAUGAAACAUUGUAGGGUCAGGAUGAUAUUAGUCGGUUAGAGUUGAGUGGUCCCCCUAGGGUUGAGUGGUUCCCACUGGGUUAUAGUAUUUAAUCCAAUGGUUAGAAAUAAUGAAAAAAGUUGAUCCAAAGGCUAAAAAACUGGUAGCAAUAAUGAGAUUUUACUACUAAUAGUAGCCCAGUCCAACUCAUAUAUAUAUAUACAUACAUAUAUAUAUAUAUAUAUAUACAUACAUACAUAUAUAUAUAUANCAAUCCAACUACAGUCCUCCGCUCUACCAACUGAGCUAAGGUCGGUUUUCUUUUAAAAUGUAAAUUCAUUUCUGUAAUAUGACAUAUCUACAUAUCUACAUAUCUACAUAUCUACAUGUAGUCUACAUGUAGUCUACAUAUCUACAUAUAGUCUACAUGUAGUCUACAUAUCUACAUAUCUACAUGUAGUCUACAUAUCUACAUAUCUACAUGUAGUCUACAUGUAGUCUACAUAUCUACAUGUAGUCUACAUGUAGUCUACAUAUCUACAUAUCUACAUGUAGUCUACAUAUCUACAUAUCUACAUGUAGUCUACAUAUUACAUAUCUACAUGUAGUCUACAUAUCUACAUAUCUACAUGUAGUCUACAUAUCUACAUAUCUAGAUAUGUCGAUAUGUAGAUAUGUAGACUACAUGUAGAUAUGUAGAUAUGUAGACUACAUGUAGAUACCUACAUAUCUGCAUACCUACAUACCUACAUACCUACAUACCUACAUAUCUACAUAUCCUAUACUAUUAUUAAAAGCAUGAGUUAGGAGAGAUAAAUAUAUCUUAUGUAAUAUGAGAUAUAAAUAUAUCUAUAUAAUAUGAGAUAUAAAUAUAUCUAUAUAUCUAUUUAUCUAUAUAUCUAUGCUAUUAUUAAAAGCAUGAGUUUCAAAAUUUUAAAAAGAAUAUACUAUUAAUAUUAUUAACAGCAUGAGUUUAAACUUUUUUUUAAAAAGAAAUGUGUCUGUCAAUUGACUUUCAAUUUUAUCCUCUUAAUUUUAAAAAUAAUAUAAUAUAUCCACACCCUUCUAAUAUUUCCAAAGUAUAUUAACUAACUUCUCUUCCACCCUGCAAUUAUUUAAUAUUUUAAAACUAUGUAACAUAUCGGUCCCUAUCUUCCUAAAUUUACACUAAUUAACAACCUUUUCACUUUUCUCAAAAAAAUUAACAACCUUUUCACGUGUAAUUUUCUACUCUCACCAUUCUUUUUUUUUUUCCUCUUUAAAACCUUAAUAAUGCUCCAUGAAUAAAUAGGGUGCAUAAUUGUUUUUUUGUACCGCAUCUAUCCAUGAACUGAGUGUAUAAUUGCUUUUCUACACUGCACCUAUUUAUAUAUUGCUAAAAUAUAUUACAAUCUAUAUAUCUUAAAAGAUAUACUAUCAUUCCUUAAAUAUAGUGUUUUAUUAUUAUUUUUUAUCUUAAUUUUUUAUAUUGUUAUUUUAUUUUAGAGGUAAUUGCUUAUAUAUCCCAAAAAAGUUUGAGACUUUUUUAUUUGCCCCGCUUAGAAGGUUAAUGUGAAAAUACCCUUUUAAUGCUUUAAGUUUUUUCAAAUAUAUUUAUGAAUAGUCAUUAUUUUUGUGAAAUUAUUAUUUUGCCUAUUCAAAUAUAUCCUUCAAUUGCUACCUAAUUUUGUUAUUUGAUUUUAAAAUAUUAAAUAUUUUUUUUAUUUACCCUUCAAUGGUUUUCUUCCAACGCUCACCUUCUUCUAUAAACUUAUAAAAGCACAAUAAUAACUAAAAAAUAGGUCAAAAUGAUUUAAUCAAUAAUUCAACACAGUUAAUGCAACUAAUCACAACAUCACAACUUCAUAGCGAUAUAUAAAUUACUAACAGAAUCUAUCACAUUCCGUAAAGUCUUUUCAUAUUAGACUUAUUUUAAUAUCAUUUUUUAUAUACCAACAUACUAUAUAUAUUAGAUUCAGAAAUAUUUUUAUGUAUUUGUAGAUAUUUUACUUGAUAUGAGGUAAGAGCAACCUUAAAUUUGUUAUAGUAUUUUUAAUUAAAUAACAUAGAAAAAAAAAAGUAGAAAAAAAAUAAAAUAUAUAAAAAAAAUUUGGUGGUUCGGUUCAAAAAAGAAUACAAUUGAAAGAAGAGAAAAAAAAAAAAUUAGAAAAGUCCUAAACUAAGGAGAAAGCGCCACGUCAUCAUCUUACACAUUGGGGAUUAAUAUAGUUGUAAAAGAAUACAAUUGAAAGAAGAGAAAAAAAAAAUAGAAAAGUCCUAAACUAAGGAGGAAGCGUCACGUCAUCUUACAUAUUGGGGAUUAAUAUAAUUAUAUAGAUAUUUAAUAAUAUUAGUCGGUAAAGAUAUGUAGUUUAAAAUAAUUGCCGUUAAAGUACCAUUAGAUAAUAAGUAAUAGUGGCUGUUCGAUAAUCGCCACUAUAAAAUUGUCGCUAAAAGGCAAUUUUGUUAUAGUGGAAGCUAGAAUACUAUUGGAAGUAAACAGUAAUUUCUAACUUCCAUGUCAUAUUAUUAAACAUGAUUUAGAGAAUUUGAACAUUUUAGGGCUCUAAUUUUGAGUUUGCGACAUUACAAGUGGUCUUAAAUUUAUUUUAUGGUAGCUAUUAUUAAAAUGAUCAAUUUUGAAAUGCGGAACCCAACAAGCUUAUAGCUUUGAUCAAAUUUAACAGCAUUGAUUGCGAGUUCGGAUAUUCCAUCGUAAGAACGAUGUGAAAGUAAACUUAGAAAGCUCAUAUCCUCGAUUAAAUUUGAUAGUAUUAAUCGUUGUUUCGGAUGUCCCAACAUUAAAAGGGCUGCUUAAAUUUUCUCCUUGAAAUUUAAUUUAGGACCACAACUUUCUAAUUUGAAUUUUUUACUAUGUUAGGCCCAAAGAGUGUCCACAAGUUUUUUUUUUAUUAUUAUUUUUACUUCAAGAAGUAUAGGGUAUCGAAUUGUUGGCCCUAACCAUUAAUUCUAAAAGCUCUGAGAGUGGUUAGAAAUACGUAAUUAAUUUACUUAAAUCAUACAGAUACAGUGUUCAUGGAUCUUGACUCAGCUCAACCGGCCUCACACCACUUCGAACAUUACUCGGCUCAAUUCAGUCUCACGCCAUUUCGAACGUGACUCAGCCCAAAGUGGCCUCUCGCCACAGGAUAGUAUGCUGGCCCAUUUAAACCAACAUAGGGCCCACUAAAAAGUUUAAGAAUGGAAAGAUGACCAAUUAAAAUAAAUAAAUUAAAAUAAAAGAAGGAAAGCCCUGUGCAUGAAAUCUUACUUAGAUAUGUACUUCGUUGAUUUUGCAUGACCAUCCAUGAAUCUUUUGGGAUGAAUUAUACCACUAGUCCCCAAACUUUUUGGAAAGUUCAACUAUGGUCCUCAAACUUUUAAAAUAUUUCGUUUCAGGCAUAGUUUGAUAAUGCUUUUUCAAAAGCAGCCAAUUUUAAAUUUUAGGAGGUCCAAAAAAAUAAAAAAAACCAGUUUCAAUCUUUGCUCUGUUCAUGCUACGUCAAAAUAUUAUCCUGCAAACUCGGUGCAAGUCUAUUUUUAUGCAUCAUGCAUAUAUUUAUUAAUUUUUUUUUAUCUUUUAUCUCAUAAUUCAAUCCUGAUUCCAACUAAAUUACAUUGUUUUCUAUGCUUGAAAAUUUGACACCAAACUAAAAAUAUGAAAAUUUGUUAAUUCCUAAAAGUUUAUUUUCUGAAAAAUGUCAAACUCAAAAAUAUUGAGGACCAAAAUGAAGUUUGAGUAGAAGUUCAAUUCUGGGACUUGUAACACAAUUUAUCCAAUUUUUAGGUUUAUAAACUACUUUAUCUACAUUCAUAUAUACCAUAUGUUGAAUUUGGAGGUGGUGUGCGGGUUUCUUAAUUAUUAAAAGCUCAAUCUCUGUUAGGGGUUUAAUGAAACCUAUUAUAUACUCAACAUUGGUUGUUGAAGUGGGCUUGAUAAUUAUAUUUUUAUUUUCAUUAAUCUCCAAAUGUUGUAUGUGAUCAAUUUUUUUCUUUAAAGCUUCUGAUUCAAAAGGUUUGUUACUUUUUAGUAUCUUAAGAUGAAAGAAAAUGUCACAUCUCAUAUAUAUAUUAUAGCUUAUUUGCCAUGAGAAAUUUCAAUUUAGCUAUUGUUGAGUAAAAUAAGUAGGGCUAGAAUAUUUCUAGAUGUAAAUUACACUAUUUACUUCUGCAUCAUUUUCAGUCGCAGGACAUUCUAGUUAACGAACUUAAUUAAGUGUUUGGGAACCAAAUGAAACUUGAAUAAAAGUUCACAGUCGAUGAACAAUGCAAUUUACCAAACAAUACUAAUCUAACCAAUUUAAAAUGUUACAAGAAUAAAUUCAGCUUUAAUUUGAAUUCAUAUAGAGGAAACAGAAGAAGAAAAAACUUUCCUAAAAUAGCAACACGUAGUUAAAAUUUAUGAUCGAUUAAACAAAAACUACGGAAUUUGGGCCGAACAAUGAUGCUGAAUUCCAAAUAUAUUCGGCCUAAGGCGCCUAUCUCAAAAUAUAGUUUUCAGAUCGAGUUUACAUGUUUAAAAUGAACACUUGUACUAAAAGCUAUAGUCAUUUUUCGUGCCUUUGAUUCUUUGUACUAAGAUGGACCACAAAUGUAGCCUAAUCCAAUUUUUCCAUACAUCUUAAUGUGAAAGAAUACGAGCAUUGCUAGAUCGACAACCCAAAAUAGAUUGUAAUCCUACAAUCACCACAUACAAACCCCAACUUUUCUUUAUAUAUGUCUUCUCAGUAUUUUUUUUUAACUAAAAAUUUGAAAAAAAAUUAGUAAAUCCUAAAAUUCUUAGAUUGCCUCUAUCACAUUAUCUUACAAUUGCACAAACUCCCCUUCCCCCCAACCCACAGCAUAGAAAACAAACCAAAAUAAACAAACUAAUUGUGUCUAAAAGCACACAGAGAUAGAGCAUAGAAAACAAACCAAAAUAAACAAACUAAUGGUGUCUAAAGGCGCACACAAUUUCACAAGGUUAAAGCCAUCUCUAAUGAAUAUAUAACAAUUAUAUAUUAAGAUAAACCCAAAGGUUAAAGCCCUUUAUCAUCACAAUAUAUAGAGAGAGAGAGAGAGAGUGACUAGUACUACCCACACACUCUAUAGUUUAGUAUAAAUCUUAUACCCAUAAUAUAGUCUCUUUGCUCUAUAUUUACCCAUUUGUCUUAUCUUUUUUUGUUCUCUUUUUUUCACUAAAACUGCAAAGAGAUUGUAUCAACUCUUGGAUCUAAGGGUAUAAGAUAUACAAUUCCUAUAAUAUAUUUAUAUAAAGUUCUCAUUGAUCACUACUAACUAAUUCCUCUCUCUCCAACACCCUACUCUUUGCUUAGUUCUUUCCCCUUGCUGUUACUCUCCACCUUCUUCCUCUUCUUCUUCUUCUUCUUCUUCUUCUUCAUCUCCUCCGACUUUGUUCUCAUCGAUCCACUAACCCUUUUGAACUGCGCCUUGAUCGGCGCCAGACUCUUCUGCCGUCGCAUCUUGCUGUGCGAGCUCACGUGCCCUCCGAAUGCCUGACCGUUCGGGAACGCCACCCCGCAAUUGCUGCACCAAAAUAUUUGAACGUCUUUAGAACCCUGCAAGACCUGCCCCAACAGAUACGUGUUGAUGGCCUCCCAGUUCAGGCAGAUCGGGUCGCCGCUAGGGUUUAGGUAGCUUUUGUUUUGGACAUUGUAGGUGUUUCGAAUAUCCAUGCACAACAUUUGGUCCAUUCGGUUCAUGAGAUUCAAUCCAAAAUAGCCCAUCAAUGGUGAAGGCGGUUGUUGUUGUUGUUGCUGCUGCUGCUCUGGUGAAAACAGCGGUGGCGGGAAAUUUACGUUGCAUGGUUGAAGAAGGAUUACUGUUAGAGUCGGUAUGAACGCAGGGUGGUUGUUCAAUGUCGAUCGGAGGGGAUCGAAUAACGUUGGCGGAGAAGAGAGCGCAGUGUUGAGUGCUGCAGUGUUUUGAUUGGCGGGAGGUGUCGAUAUCAGUAAUAAGUUGUUCGGUGGGAAAAAAGAGAACUGGUUGUUCAAUGUCUAUGGAGAAAGAAGCUUCUUUAGGGUUGUUUUGGUUAAGGAGAAGCUCGAGUUGGUGGCUAAGAUCAUCCAUGGAGGGAGGGAGGGAGACAGAGAUAUGGGUGUGGAAUGCAUAGAUAUGAGAAUUAGGGUUGUAUAUAUAAAGAUGGUCAUGUAAUAUUACUGUGAGUGAGGUAGUGCCGUUGCCUUUAAUGAAGUUCCUCAAGGUUGUAAUUAUAGCCUGAAGAUUCUCAACGAUAUUGUAGAUAUAUGCAACGUUUCAUGUAUCACUUAUUAAUUACGUAGCUUCAACUAGUGUGGCUCCAAAUUACCUAAGUAGUUAUCAACGUCAUGUAUUUCCUAGUUAGCUACAAGUGAGAAAUUCUUCGAUCCAUUGUAUAAAAAAGCCUAUGCCGAAUGCAUUUCAUGUUUAAACAUCUUUCAUUUAUCAAUCCAAUGUAUAAAAAAGCCUAUGCCGAAUGCAUUUCAUGUUUGUACAUCUUUCAUUUAUCAAUCGUUCAUUUCAUGUUACAUUUCGAUCUAAGAUAUCUAGAUAACUUUGUAAAUUUUUUUAUUUAAUUUUUAUUGAUUGGAUCAAAAAAAAUAUCAUAGGAUGAAAGCUUCAUAAACAAGCGGUAUAGUAAUAUGUAAAUACACAUGGUCUAGGUAAUAAGUUUCCUUCUUAUAUUUUUGUUUUGCCCAAAUUCAAUUCUACCGCGCCUUUACAUACCCACUGGCCCUACCUACGUACCCACUGGCCCUACCUCUCUUCGCGGCCAUUUAUUAGGCCGACGCCACCUUGGGUAUAAAUAUGUGUGCACUCCUCACAGAACGUCCACAACACACAUUGCCAACAACAGAAACACUCUAACUCACGCAACCUCGCAGAACGUCCACAACACACAUCGCCCACAACAGAAACACUCAACUCACCCAACACCAAAAUCCCUCCAACAAAAGUUCAAAAUGAGUGCACUACAAACAAUUAUCUUACUGCUGUUCAUCCUUAGUUCCAUCGGCGCGGAUGGCAUCCCAGGUGGUGGCGCGGAUAGCGUCCCUAGUGGCGGGUGGGAGCUACUUCAAAAAGUAUUGGAGUAUCGGUGAUGCACAUGCAAUUGCUUCAUACUGAUCACGUGAUUAUUUUUUAUCGUACUGACUUUGGUCAUUCCAAUCUCUCCCUCCCGCGUAUAGUCAGCAUUAUAUCAUGUCGUUGGUGUAAUUUUAUUACAGUUGAUAUAUUGGAGGGAUACUGAUGCUGUUGGUGUAAUUUUAUUACAGUUGAUCAUGUUGUUGGUGUAAUUUUAUUACAGUUGAUAGAUGGUUGUACGUGCAGUGGAAGAUAAAUUAGAGCUCGGUAUCAAUAUUGCCUGUUGUUGAAUUUUUUUAAGUUUUUACUAAUUACUGUAUUAUUAGAUUAGAUCCAAAGACCGACAGUAAAAAUAUCUAUUAUUUUAUGUCCUUUUUUAUCUCCAAAAUACCCUUCUACUUACCUUUUUCUUAACUAUCUACAAAAUUAAUGAUGAAUAAAAAGAAUAUAUUUUCUUCUUUUGAGGUAUUUAAAAAUAGAAUAUUAAAAGACCAACUACUACCAUAUUCAAUACCUUGAAAGGUAUUUUUUUUUUGUCGUACAUUCUCUUUUUUUUUUCUAUUGGUAAAAUUAAAAAUGUCCGUGGACCGGGUCGGGUCUGGAUAAUUAAUAUACUGUACCCAUACCCUAAAAAGAAAUGGUUACAAAAAAUAUAUAUAUACCCUACCCAUUUAACUUCGGGUCGGGUCCGGGUCUGGGUACUAAAGUUUCUAAUAUACCCAUCGGGUCUAUUUGAGCGGGUCUGGGUAGUGACUACCCGUAUACUACCCGUUCAAAAUCGGAUAUGGAUCGGAUCUAAAUCAGGUACGGAUAUCCGUAUAAAUAUAUUUUUUUAUAAACUUUAUUAAAUAGUCAAUAAACAAACUAUAUUGUUGACAAUGAAAUAUUAUUGGCGGAAAUGAAAUGAAAAAAAAGAGUAGAAAACAAAGAGUAAAAAAAUUAGAAAAAAGUAAUGAGUAAAAGAGACGGCUAGGGUUUCAUUAGGAUGAAAAUACAUAGUGACUCAUCAUCUAUAAGUCAUAUUAAAAUUGAUCCUUCAACUUCAAAAGUUUUUUUUUUUUUAUUUACUAUCGGAUAUUUCAUCGGGUCCGGGUCAGGGUCCGGAUUUGAAAACUAUUCCGGACCCUACCCAUUUAAAAGUUAGGUUCGGGUCAGGUCCAAAUCGGGUAUGGGUAUAAAAUAUCCGGACCUAUACCCGAAAUUUUAAUGGGUAAUUUUUUUUAUUCGUAUACUAUUCAUUUUUUAUCGGGUCCGGUUCGGGUCCGGUUCGGGUCCGGGUAGGGUCCGGAUCGGAUAUGGGAUAUCGGAUAUUUUGGACACCUUUAGGUAAAAUUUCCUUUAAAACCCAUCCUAUUUGGCAUUAACCAAUCAAAAUAAAUUUUGGUUGAUGUCCUCUCAACUUCAAUUUAUGUUUAUUUGAAUUAUGCGUAUUUUGUUUUAAUACUUGAUAAAAAAAACAAUAGUUCUUAUGUUAUAUAUAUUAACAUAAAUGUAUAGACAUUAAAUAACAUAAAACAACAGUUCUUGUGUUAUAUAUAUUAAUAUAUAUGUCUAUACAUUAAUAGUGGUAACAAUGUAAAUUACAUAGUUUUGUGGCUUCUAAUAAAGUGGAAUAUAUUUAAAAGAGCUUAUAAAAUUAUAAAAAAUAAAAUAUUUAAUUUAACAGUAAUUUAAAAUAAUUGUAAUAACAAAUUAUGCAAGAGCAUCCAUAAAAUAAAUACGGUUGAUAAGGCUAUUUAAAAUUGUCUUAGGAGGUAUUUUAAGGUUUAGAAUUUAAGAUUUAAAGUUUAUUGAAUUUUAAACAAAUUUUUAUUUGACAAAAUUAAACAUUGCCUUUGUAAUUAUGUGUAACAUGCAAGCUGAGUCCAAUUUUCUAGUAGUAAUAAAAAAGCUGAGUCCAAUUUUCUAGUAGUAAUAAAAAAAAUCGAGUCCAAUUUUCUAGUAGUAAUAAAAAAGUCGAGUACCUACGAUUCAUUUUUAUCUUCUCCAAACGUUUAGUUUGUUUAGUGAUAGCUGAAAGAUGUAUAAACAAAAUUCAUACAUGAAUCCAAAUCCGUCGAAUUUUUAUUUUUAUAUUCGUAUCUGAAACUAUUUUUGUUUAACUUCAGAUAAAUUUGCUCUGUUUGGAUUUAAAUUCGAAUAAAACUUUGAAUAUCAGUACCUAUUGACAUCCCUACUCUCCAUUUAAUUAAGGGUCCAUUUAUGUAUACACGUUGCUCUCCAUUGUACUCCAAUAAUCUAUAAACGUGACAUAAUUUGAUUGGAUUUUUAAAUUUUAAUUUAUUAGUGUGGUCUUUAUGAAAGUCAAACUCAAAAACUUAAUGAGACAACAUACAUAAAAAAACAAAUCAAUGCUUUAGAAAUAGAGCAAUUUUAGAAAUAUAACAAUAAUUAUAGAAUAUCUUUUUAAAAAUGACAAUUAUUAUAAGCUAGGGCUACUAUACUUUUAUGACAAUAAUUACAAGCUAGGGCUACUCUAAUUAUAGAAUAUCUUUUUGACCGUUGGAUAAAGGAACAUGCGGUUAGGAUGAUAGUAGUCCCCGAGGGUUGAGUGGGUGGUUGUUUAAUAGUUCUUACGUCAUCUGUUUUGUUGUUUGUUUCAGAGCCAUCCGCAUCGGGAGAGGCUAGGGAUCGUGGCAAUGGGUUAACGACUAGCUAGAGCCCCUACGGAGCUAUUUUAAAUGGACUCGACAUCAUCUUUCUUUUUGUAUCUUGUGGAAAGAUGUAUUAUGUAUUUGGUUUAGAGAUUAUGUUAAACUUUUGGAUUUAGUUGUAUAUAUUUUGGAUCUCUUUAUGCUAGAAUAUUAGUGAUUUUAUUUUACUCGCUCUGAUAGCCUUGUUAGGACUUUAUCUUAUUCAUUUCUAGUUUUUGGUAGACGCCUUGUGUGCACUGUGGUUGUUUGGUGUACACGGCGGGUCUGUGCGCGCACCGGGCGGGCUUCUGCUGGGUCCCGGGGCGUGACAGGUAGCUUUUGUUUUGGACAUUGUAGGUGUUUCGAAUAUCCAUGCACAACAUUUGGUUCAUUCGGUUCAUGAGAUUCAAUCCAAAAUAGCCCAUCAAUAGUGAAAGUGGUUGUUGUUGGUGGUGGUGUUACUGCUGCUUUGGUGAAAACAGCUGUGGCGGAAAAUUUACGUUGCAUGGUGGAAGAAAGAUUACUGUUGGAGUUGGUGUGAACGCAGGGUGGUUGUUCAAUGUCUAUCGGAGGGGAUCGAAUAACGUUGGCGGAGAAAAGAGCGCGGUGUUGAGUGCUGCAGUGUUUUGAUUGACGGGAGGUGUCGAUAUCAGUGAUAAGUUGUUCGGUGGGAAAAAGGGAACUGGUUGUUCAAUGUCUAUGGAGAAAGAAGCUUCUUUAGGGCUGUUUUGGUUAAGGAGAAGCUCGAGUUGGUGGCUAAGAUCAUCCAUGGAGGGAGGGAGGGAGAGAGAUAUGGGUGUGGAAUGCAUAGAUAUGAGAAUUAGGGUUGUAUAUAUAGAGAUGGUCAUGUAAUAUUACUAUGAGUGAGGUAGUGCCAUUGCUUUUAAUGAAGUUCCUCAAGGUUGUAAUUAUAAUCUGAAGAUUCUCAACGAUAUUGUAGAUGCAUACGGUUGAUAGGGCUAUUUAAAAUUGUCUUAGGAGGUAUUUCAAGGUUUAGAAUUUAAGAUUUAAAGUUAUUGAAUUUUGAACAAAUUUUUAUUUGACAAAAUUAAACGUUGUCUUUGUAAUUAUGUGUAACAUGCAUUGCACGUCCAAUUUUCUAGUAGUAAUAAAAAAGCCAAGUCCAAUUUUCUAGUAGUAAUAAAAAAUCGAGUCCAAUUUGUAAUAGUAAUAAAAAAGCCGAGUCCAACUUUCUAGUAGUAAUAAAAAAAUCGAGUCCAAUUUUCUAAUAGUAAUAAAAAAGCCGAGUACCUACGAUUCAUUGUUUAUCUUCUCCAAACGUUCAGUUUAUUUAGUGAUAGCUGAAAGAUGUAUAAACAAAAUUCUUACAUGAAUCCAAAUCCAUCGAAUUUUUAUUUUUAUAUUCAUAUCUGAAACUAUUUUUGUUUAACAUCAGAUAAAUUUGCUCUGUUUGGAUUUAAAUUCAAAUAAAACUUUGAAUAUCAGUACCUAUUGACAUCCCUACCCUUCAUUUAAGGGUCCAUUUAUCUAUACAUGUGCUCUCCAUUGUACUCUAAUAAUAUGUAAACGUGACAUAAUUUGAUUGGAUUUUUUAAUUUUAAUUUAUUAGUGUGGUCUUUAUGAAAGUCAAACUCAAAAACUUAAUAAGACAACAUACAUAAAAAAACAUAUCAAUGUGUUAGAAAUAGAGCAAUUUUAGAAAUAUAAUAAUAAUUAUAUAAUAUCUUUUUGAAAAUGACAAUAAUUACAAGCUAGGGCUACUAUGCUUUAAUGAGUAUAGACCCUUUUGUACUUAUAAGUUUUUGACCGUUGGAUAAAGGAAUAUGCGGUUAGGAUGAUAGUAGUCCCCGAGGGUUGAGUGGGUGGUUGGUUGAAUAGUAUAAUAUAACGGGAGGAAAUAAUCAAAAGGCUAAAUCUAACAAUCGAAAACUUAUAAGUACCAAAAAGCCUAUACUCAUAGGAGUAUAGUAGCCGGACUCACAAUUACAAUAUAUCAAUGCCUUAACAAACAAAUGAAGAAAAGAAAAAAAUAACAGUUGAAAAACAGUGAAAGAAAGGAAUUAAGGAAAAAAAAACCCUUAGGGAGCCGGGCAACGUCAAAGGGGCAUGUGUUUUAUUUUUCAUUUUUUGAAAUGUGAAUGUAUUAAAUUUGCGCCUAUGGACAUACAUUAUAAAAUAUAAAGACUCUGCAAAUAGCCUUUGCUACUUGCAUAUCUUAUACUAUUUAAAUUGAGAGAACAUUCCAUACAUGUGGCAAUUGGGGAGGUGUUUUGAUACACGUGGCAAUCAGGGACGUUCCCCCUUCUCUCCCCAAACCCCUUCCCUAAACCGACCGCACCUCUCCAAACCUAUUCCCUGAACCGACCGCACCUCUCUCUCUCUUUUACCGUCUAUCUGCCUCAUUCUCUCUCUCCUCCUCCCUACAUCUCUCUCUACCCUCCUGAACCGAACGCCAACCCUCUCCCCCCAAACCCUUCGCUCCCUCUCUCUCCCUCCUAAACAGAACGCCCAUCUCUCUCAUUCUCUCUCUCGUGCGCCAUCUCUUUACAUCCCUCUCUCUCCCCCCCCACCGCUCUCUCUCUCUACCAUCUAUGCUUCUCUGUCACGCUCAACCGAUCGCCCCUCUCUCUCUCUCUCUUCGAUCCUGGGCUCUGCCGCGCUCUCUCUCUACCAUCUCUGGUCCUCUCUCACACUCAACCGAUCGCCCCUCUCUUUCUCUCUCUUCGAUCCUGGAGAGAACAGUGUGGAUCCUCUCUUAUCAGAACCCCUACGGCUAUCCCUAUUGUGGCGUCUACAGGUGACCCCUAUCCCUAUACCUCUGGCCUCUACAGGUAAUCUUCUCUCUCGCCUUUCUAUUUACUGUUGUCUGCUUGCCUUAGCCGGCUCUAUGCCGUCCGUUCAGCCUUCUACGGCUGCGAUGGUGUGUUGCACUCUCCAUGGCCCCUAACAGUAGAUCUAUUUGCCUCCUACUCCUCAGAGGGGCACGAAAAGAAACGACCCCUAGGUUGUUUGACCCCUAUAACCAUUGUGAGAUCUUACAAAAAAAAUGGAAAGAUCUCCUGAGAUUUUACUUGAUAUCUGUUUAAUCCCUAUUGCCAGAAGCUCUGUUCAAAAAAAAAAUUUCUAAAGAUAUUCUGAGAUCUUAAAAAUAAAUAGGGAGAUAUCCUGAGAUCAAUUCUGUCAUCAUCAUGUCUGUUUUUUUACUUGAAAAAUUGACAACUCUAGCUUCCUGGACAAAAGGCUUAUACUUCAAAAAAAAUUCCCUAAAGCCUGCUGGACAAUAAGGUGUUUAAGAUUUUGUGUGUUUCUGAGCCUAUAAAUAGCAUGUACUGUUUAGCCAAAAAAAACAGUACGAGCCUCUCUCUCUGCAGUGCAAGGUGAGCUAUUCUGAUUGGCUGCAGACCCCUCUAUCUGUUCCUAUAUACUGGCUUCUUACAUUUGGACCACCUCUACACUAGCUGGUGUUUGCUCAUGAAAAACUAUUGGAUUGGGAAGGUUGCUUGGGUAUUCCAUGCAAAGGCAACCAUCUGCCACAGAUUGGACGGCCUUUCUAUGCGAACCCAUCUACUACUACCUAUUGCCUGGCACUGCUAUAUUGGGGGUUUUCUAAUGUCUUUGUUCCUGCUGUCUCUAUUUUCUAAUGUCCAUAUUCUUGAUUUCUUUGCUUCUUCAUCUAAUUUCUUUAUUUUUUUGGAGGCAAUGAUGACAACUGUAUCAAAAAAGUAAAAAACUCUGAACUUUCUUUGGGUUGUUAAACUGCAUGCUGUUUCGGGAGAGAAAUUUUUUGCUUGCCGCUUCUUUUUCCUGUAUGCAAUCUUUUCCGCCCCCAGAAAGCAUGGCUUCUGUGUUCUGUAGGAGGGCAACCAUCUAACAGAGAUUGGACGACCUAAUAAAGGUGUUGAGGCCAAAAUUAAAAAUUAACAUGCCGACCUAACCCACGUAUGAGCCAAAAAAAUAAGAACACGUGGUACACCAGGAGUCGGCAAUAAGGCGCCUGAAGGUUGAGAGGGUUUAGGCGGGAACGGUUGAGAAGUGGGGCGUAACUUCCAUGAGAAGUGGGCGUAACUUCCAUGAUCAUGGUUACAACCACUCCCCUUACUACUUUCAACCAACCAAUAAUGUGGGUUGAUAUUACUAUAAAUAGUAAUUUUGAAACCUGCAAUAAGAGUCUUUUUCCCCCCUGAACGAGAAGACCAUCUUUAUUUCCUCUGCAAUUUUAUCGUUUUUCUAGGAGUAGUCUAAAUGUAAUCUUUUUCUUUUCUGCAUUUACUGCUUUCCUAGGAGUAGUUUUUAAGUUAGAUUUUCAGAGUCUGUAUGCCCCCGGGCACACUCUGUUAUAAACUAGAUUUUCAGAGUCUGUAUGCCCCACGGGCACACUCUGUUGUAAACUAAAUUUUUAGAGUCUGUAUGCCCUUCGGGCACACUCUGUUUUAUUAAUAUAUAAAGGCAUUCGACUCUUUCAGCGGACCAAUCACUGUGUUUUUCAUAUAUUCGGCUCAUCAGCCGACCCAAGACUCUGUGCAUUUUAUUAAUUCGGCUCAUCUAGCCGAACCGAUUCUACAGUAAAGGUUUUCGAACUCGGCUGAUCCGAUCCCUUAUCAGCCGAAUCGCUUGAUCCAGUCGAAGGGCGCAAACUUCGAGGGUCACUAAUCGUAGCCGUUUCGCUUCCCGACACGUAUCCUGAGGAAGAUCUUUGACCGGGUCAAAGAGGACGAAAAUCGGCUCCUAACAAAAGGGAAGCCAUCUAAUACUGUUUGUUGACUGAUGCUGCUAUAUUGGGUUUUUCUUUUGCAUUUUAUGGCCCUGUCUUCUCUCCCAGAAUGAAGUUCGGCCGAGAUUUGCCCAUGCAAGUGACGACGGAAAUGCUUUACUUGGUUCCAUUUCUCACACUUUACCUGAGCCUACCUAUUUUAUUUGUUUGGUUAUGUGUUCUAAUUACUUCCUUCAUGUUUGUAAUCAUUUAUUAUCUGUUUUAUUUCCUUACUCUUCUUUCCAAACUGUGUUUCUUACUUCUUUGUUUUCUUUUCUUUACUUUACUGUUUUGCUUUCUCUGCCCUUCUCCUUUAUUUACUUGGUUUUUUCUUUUGGUUCCUGCUUUCCUUGGUUUUUUUUUUUUUUUUUUACUUCACUUUUCGAGGCGAUGAUGACUAUCUCUUACGUUCCAUUUACAUCUUGUGGCUAUCUUAUUCCCUGCGACUUCUACCUCCCUUUACGAAUCGAGGGUUGUUGUGGAUUCAAUUUCUUCCUCCCUAUGCCUUUCUUUAAAAGAACGGAGGGUUGUAGUGGAUUGGCACAUUAGAAAGCAACUGUCUACACUAGACAGUACGGCUUUUCCAUGCGCAACCAUCUAUCACUUCUCCUCUUCUUGCCUUACUUGCUCUCUUUUUUUUUCCCCUCCCCCUGCGCUCCCCGACAGCAACUUUUCUUCAAUGUACCGGGUGUAAUUGGCAUUCCUGCCUUGCGGUGCGGUCACGCUGAUGUUAGUGAACUAUUCAUUCUAGGUUGGAUAGCCUAAUUAAAGGCAACCACCUUCUAAUGCAUUUUCUGUUAUUGCUUACUACCAUGGGUUUGGUUGGAUGCUACCACCUACUGUAAAGCUUAUGGCGAAAAAAAAAAAAGAGAUGAUACAUGCUUUCCUGUUAGACCUGAGCCUCACCGUUUUUCUUUCUUCUAUUUUUCAUAAAUUUUUCAAUAAAAGAACUUACUAUACAUUCUUUCUUCUUUCUAUUAUAUUGUUAAAAGGUACAAAUUAAAUACCAUUGUUGAAGAUAAUACCAGUUCUGCAAAUUUUACCAUCUUCGGCAGAUUGGCCCAAGAUUUGAUUCAUAUUCCGGCUCAAAACCUCGCUACUUCAGCUGGUUUAGAUAAAUUUACUCUUCCUCCUGCAAUUAAAACAAUUAUUGGAAAUGAACAUAUUUUUCAAAUAGUACCUGACAUACACAGGUUUAGAACAACUGUUCUUUCUUUUAAGGUUGCCAAAAUUUUUAAUAUUCAAUACGAUAUAAAGGAGAAUACUUCUUCGUCUAAAACUUUAAUGAUCAAAUGUGAAGAAAAACUUGAUUCGCCUACCACUCACAAAGAAGUUCACAAAGAAUUAUUUGAGGAAGCAUCCCCAAGUACAACCAUUUCGUUUAGGUGAUAAUUACAUAUUUACUUCCAUGUUUGCUUUAUGUUAUUAUAUGUGUUUGUCUUUGCGUUUGUGUGUUUUUCAAAGCAACUGAGAUAUAUUGUUUUACCUACAGCUCUCCGCCAUCUGCCGAUGAUAUAAAGGAGAUCCAGCCUGCCAAAAAAAAAAAGACUUUGGUGAGUUAGAAUUUACUUCAUUUCUUACACCUAAGGUUAUGUUAAACUAAUAUUUUUUAUUGUGUUCUCUAUUUUUAUUUGCAGUUUUGGUGAAGGUCCUUCCACAAAUGAAGAUCAGCUAUGAAGAUUUAAAAUUUAUGUUUUAGUGUACUGCUAAUUUAUUAUAUUUUCAUCAGAGUUACGUUUAAUGCUGUGUUUUGAUUACACUACUGUAUGUUUAUCAAACUAUUUAAUACUGAGUUACGCUUACUGCUGUAUUUUGACUACACUACUGUAUGUUUAUCAAACUAUUUAUCCGCAGCGAAGCGCGGGGUUUUCACUAGUGAAGCAUUAAUGAAUAGAACACACCUUUUAUAUAUGAGACAAUUGAAUAAAUAAAGGGUUCUAUUUAUUAGUUGAUAAUGAAAUGUUUAAUAGCGUAUCAAUUAAUAGAAGAAAAGAUCAUACAAAAAGAGAAUAUGAUCUGGAAUCAUUUAAAACAGACCUUCGAGUGUGCGCAUAUAGGUUUCGGCUAUAUUAUAGAGAUGUAGUUAUGCACUAACAAAUUGCAACUGAGACUUUUUAAGUGUAAAGUUAUCACAUUAUUUAUUCUUAUGAAUUAUCCAAUAAAGUUAUUCAAUAAUAACUUAUAAGCCAUAAUGAGUGUUUUUUAUUUUGAUAAAUUUUAAUGUGCCUCUUUGUAAGUUAACAUAUUUUAACUUUACUAUCCAAUGAUUCAAAAAGUUGUAACACUGAAAAAACCUAAAAUCAAAUAAGAUAGAAAAAUAAAUUUCUUUAAAAAUCACAAAAUAAUACACUGCUUAUCGAUAGAUUAUUAUAAUGAAAAAUAAAAUUAUAAAUUUGUUAUAUAUAACUUUUUAAACCACAUGAUGACUCAAUAAAUUACAUGAUGACUCGGUAAAAUUAUAUAUGUUCAAAGAGUAACCCAUCUAUUAAGUUUUACUGAAUACAAUAAUUAAUAUAUUUAAGUCAUGUAUAUAAAAUAAUCGGAUUUAUUUUUCUGGUUUUGAAUAUGGAUCUCCGGGCUUCUAUUCGGGUGUGGCUUCGGAUUUGAAUUUUUAUUCCCGCUUUGAUUCCAGCACAGUUUUGAGUUAAUUUUAACAUUCUAUUUAGAUUCGUUGUCAGGUUUUGCAAAAACAGUUCUAAAAUUAGCUCAUUGACAUCCGGAGUGUGGACUACCGCUGGGGUGCAAGUUUCAUUUUCCUACUUUUCUCUGACGUGUUCUGACUGACUUUGGUUUUAAGACGUGGAUUUGAUGGUGGUCUAGCCAGAAUAUUGAUCUUUUCUGUGCGUAGAUAAAAUUUGUAGCGCAUAAAUAAAUGUGUUAGUAUAUACAUGUGUAUACACGCAUGUAUCGAUAUCCUGAAAGAGUGCAAGCAAGAAAAAGAGUACUCCCAAAACCUUUUUUUCUAAAAAAAAAGAAAACUAAAACCUGUAUACAGAGAAGAAAGCAAACGAGUGCAAGCGAGAAAAAGACGGGAAGCUUUACAAGCUUGCAAGAGAAUCAGAGGAAGAGAGAAAGGAGCUGGGGAUACAGAUAGAAAAGGGCAGCGAAAGUUUGGGUUAUAAUAACUGUAUAUUGCGGCUCGAUUGGAAAGAAAGCGAUCACGGUUCAUGCAACCACUAAUAGCUUUUAUGCAGCCUAGACGAGGAAAUUAUGAUACAUUUUGCUAUAUGGAUAUCUCUUCACCAGCGAAAGAGCGAAAUAAUGUACUACCUGUCUCAAGUUAUGGCAAAUUUCAGUUUUGAAAUACAAAUGCAUAAGGAAAUAGCAUAAAAAAUAUUAUGAAAUAAUUGUUGAAAAUCAAGCUCAAAAAUAAGGUAAUCUUCAAAUUGCCCCAUUGUGGUAUAGCUCAUUUUCACUUUGCAACGUCAUGGUUUAAAAAGUUUCACUUGCCCCCAUGUGGUUUAGCUCAUAUUCACUAUUGUCACCUCAUGGUUUAAAAAGUUUUACUUUGUUCCUCUGUGGUUUAACACAUUUUUCUCAACCAAAGUGGGGCAAAGCGAAACUUUUUAGACUGCGGGAUAGCAAAGUAAAAAUGAGCUAUACCACAAGGGGCAAUUUGAAGUUUACCCUUAAAAAUAUGGAGUUCCUCUAAGUUUGGAAGGAAAAGCGAAGUGUAUAACAAGAAUAGGAACAACAUGAUCCUGGAUAAUUACUUGGCUCUGCAAUCAGCACAUUCUUUGUUCUCAGGCAAUUUGAGAAGCCCAUAUAAUAUCUGCAAAUAAAUGAAGAUGCAUGAAGCAAUGUUUUCCAAUUCCAACAAUACUCAAAGAAUUAGGAAAAAAAAUAGUCACAACAGAAAGUCCAAGAGAAAUUAAAAGUCGUAAUAAGAAACUCCAACUAAAAGAAUUAUUAAUUUUACAUAUAACUUUUACCUAGAUGCAAAGGAAAUUAGAAAUCAACCUUGGCAAUUGGGCGGGAUGUGUUGUGAGGAGUGAUGCACAAACUUAAAUGAGAGACAACAAUCUGACUGUUCUUGUUGUUGUUACAGUUCUUUUCUGUAGAAUUGUCGCAGUACAUGUCAAAGAGUGAUAUGAUAAAUGACCUUUCAGUCCGCUACAUGCAUUGUCAUAUUUGUCUUUCAACUUCAAUUCACUUUCCAGGUUCAACUAAAAUUCACUUUCCAGGUUCUCACUGUCACUUAUGCUUUAUCUUACAGUACUAUAACAUUAAGGUAUCGCUUGUUUGACGAAUUAAUUUUGUCAUAAAUUUAGGGAAUAUGAUGGCUUAUGACAUAAGAUCUGUAUGUUCAUUCCAUCUGGGGAAUAUCUGUUGGUUGGUAUAUAUGACCCUUUUUUUGAGUUUCAAAAAGACUUACAAACCAUUUAUACAUUUUGCGGCCUGUAUUGCAUAAUACCAAAUUUAAAUAGUUCCUCUUGGUGGGGUUUGGUUUUUAUUAUAGUGAAUGGUGUGAAUACAACCAUUUUACUAGGGUAGAACAUCCCAAUUCCCAUUUCUAUCAUUUCCUAUUUACAGAAUAUCAAUAAUUUCACUUGCUACAACACUAAAUGUUAAUGCCAACACUAACCAGGCAUUUUGGUUUCUUACUUCCAUAUUGACUGAACAAAUAAUCUCUCAUUUUUAAAAAGAAAAGUUUAAUCUCCUUUGUUUGUGACCGUCUUUUGUGCUCAGGUUCGAUAUUCAUCUAGUGGCAACAUUCAAGUGACAGCUUCAAAAUAUGAUUCAACCGGCAUAUAGAAUGGAGUCACUGCAAUAUGUAUUAGGAUAUAAUUGGGGCACAUGGGUUGGCUGAACCAAUGUGCAAGCCUCACAACAACAGAUCAGAGGUAUAGUCUGUUAUUCAUGUUCGCGAUAUCUGUUUGGUUCUAAUGUAGUUAUUGUUGUGAAAUCUUAUCCUACGUAAUAUACUGAAGCUUAGACAUAGUAAUGCAUAAUGAGUGGUACACCACAUUCUUAUUCAUUAGUAAUUGCUCUAUUUCAUUGCCAAUCUUAAUCUUUAUUAAUCCUAUCAGUUGUGUUUUUGGAGAGUUCAGAUUUGAGGGUAGAGAUGAGCAGGCGUUGCUCAUAACUGAUCUCUAGUACAAUGCAGCUGACUAUAGGCAAUGGUAAGAGCUAGUUGUAAAAAAAACAUACACAUGCAUUCACAAAUUUUUCCAUAUAAAAUGCCUGAUUAUGUGGUAAUAUUGCAAGGCUCGGUGAGGUUGUCGCACAUGGCCACCAUGGACUAUUUUAUUACUUCUAAAACUAGAAAAAAGGAAACUUCUGCUAUACACUUGUCGGAAAGAGUACAAAGACGUUUUGGUUGCCUACCGGUGUGAGGUAAUAGACUCACUACAUGGUUCUACAAGUCUAUAUACUACAGUCAAUAACAUUGUCAGGGCCAAAUGGAUUUCAGUCUACAAUUCUACAGGUCAAUGGUCAUACAAGCAAAUGGAUCUAUUUGUCCAUCUGUUGACACAUCUACAUGUGAUAUGUUGGGUGGUCUGCUAGCCUAUAGGACUCAUGAUAUAUGUGGCCGUGCAUCUACUAUUUUACAACCAAAAAAACUCCUAUAAAUAUGGACCACUGUGCCUACGGGCACUCCCUCUACAAAAGAAAAAGNUGGUGGGCCGGAAGACAGGUCCAGCUGUCCAUAGGCGUCUAUGUUUACUAGCAUGCGGGUUUACUGAUCUAUUUGCUUACAGAUUUAUUAUUCCACAUGUCCAUUGAUCUAUGGGCCUACUGGUCUGUGGCUCAAUUGUUCUACUGGACCAAAAGUCUACAUAACUACAAAAUACGGGCCCAUAAGUCUACCGGUAGAUAGGCGCACCGAUUGUAUUUGCCAAUAUACUGGUUUGGCGUUUUCCGGUGUACCGGCCUACAGGUCCUUAAGGGUCUACCACUCUAUAAGGGUUUAUGGUUUUAGAAAAUUUAAUCAUCCACUAUAAGCACUGUACGUAGUGCAGUGCAGUCAAUAAUUUCUAAUUAGGAAGGAGUUUAGAUGCAAAUAAAGAAUAAAGAAUGAAGAGUGCAUUACGGUUACCAAGUAGGAGCUGCAGACGGGUACACAAUCUUUGCACAAGCAACUUACCACUCCUCUAAUUGCAGUCUUGUGUAUUUGACUAUAACUUUGUAGUUCUAACACAACCUACACAAAAUAAGCAAAGUAAAAUGGUGUAAUGACUAAAAAAAAAAUUUAUUAAACAUUUAAAGAAGAUCCACAAAGAUACAAAGACAGUAAUAGCAGAAUAAGAAACAAAACAAACAUUCAUAGAGUAGAAAUAAUUAAAAGUAACAAGAAAAAGAAAUGGAGAAAAGAAAAAAAUGAAGCAAAAGAAAGGCUGAUAGAUGAGAGAAAACAUAUACGACUAAAAAAAAAAGAUAAAAGAAAAGGAAGAAAAUGUGUGCUGCAAAACUCAUAAUUGGUUAAAUAAUGAUUUGGUUUGCCCUAAAGAAUUGAUAGAAAGAACAAAAAAACAUACUAAAAAAGAGAAACAAAAAAUAAAGAUGAAACUACAGAUUGGCCUAAUUUAAAGCAUUAGAUGAUUAAAUGCCUAACAACAUGAAGGGAAAAAGAAACGAAAAGAAAAUAAUAACAAAUACGGAAUGGUUCCAUAAAUAAAGUCAGAGAACAAUGACCUAUCCUACUAAUGUAGAAUUCCUGCUUGAUAGUAUGCAUAAGACUUCGGUAAGUACCGAAAUACUGUAAAUUAAGAAAAGAAUGUGAGAGACAACAAAAGAAAUAACGAAAGAAAUAUACCGUUUAUCAAGAAACAACAAAAGAAAUAAAAAAACAAAGAAAUAACCCAUAUCUUCAAUAUAAGAGCUUUGAAAAACACUUCCGUAGACCAACAACCAAAGGAAAGAAAGCGAAAGAGAAGAGAAGAGAAGAGAAGAGAAGACCCUAUAAUGCCAAUUGUGAGAGACAAGUAACUUGUUACACUUCAAGUGUAAAGUAAGAACCAUCUAUCAAUAAUUAUAUAUAGUCCACAUGACAAAUGAGUUAUCACAUGUUUUAAUCUAAAAAACACUUGUCAACAUAAAAGUUAAAAUUAAGACAGACAAAUUUAAUUGUAAGCACGUCAUUGGACGAUGUUGUAGCAUGUUAUUCUAGCAGGUUACCCACACCCGCACCCGCACCCGCACCUGCACACGAAGACAACAUUAAGGAAGCCACACACACACACACACACACACACACAAAAGUUAAAAUUAAGUAGACAAAUUUAAUUAUAAGCACGUCAAUGGAAGAUGGUAUUGGGGCGUAACAUUUUUUGCUGUUAAAAUAUGCAAAUAUUUAAACAUCAUUCUCUAACAUCCUAAGCUUUUAGAUUACAACGGUUGCUUCAUAUAUUUUACAUGAUAUCAGAAUAGGAGAUUCUGAGUUCGAGUCACCCCAAAAUUUUAACAUUAUUAAUUCCCUCCCAUUUAAUUCAAUUCCACGUAAUGGGCCUACAAAAAGUUUUGAGCCCAGACGUGAGAGGAAGUGUUAAAUAUAAAAAUAUUUAAACAUUGUUCUCUAACAGGUUAAGCUAUUAGAGUAUAACAGUUGUUUCAUAUAUUUUACAUGUGCAAAUGAAUUCGAAGUGGAAUUUUCAAAGUUCAGGUACCUAUUUGGAAAACAUUGUAGCUUCAGAUAGUAGAGCCAAAACUUAAAUCAACAAAAAAUUAUUUAUGCAUGCCACUUGUAAUAGGGAUGCUUAAUUUACAGAACUCAAAAUCUUUUUAUCGUCUAGCAGAAGAACCCUACAACACCACGAGAAUUACAACUGAGACUGUUCAUAGUUGGACAAUCCUCUAGACCUGAGGGAUCUUCUGAUCCAUAGCUUGUUGUCAACCUAGAUAAACUAAGGUGGUUUUGAAUAGAUUGGUAUGUUAAGCUUUAUAGGAGUAGGUAAUGCAGAUCAACUGGCAAUUGUGGAUUCAUGGAAAAUCAAAUAUGGAUAUAGCCAUAGUUAUCUGGAUAGGAGUGUGCACAUAAAUCUACUUUACUGUUAGAUAUAAAAUAAACUAACAAUACCCAAAAAACAUGUUGCAAAUGGAUCAAAAAGAAAAUACAGUUUUAAGGAUUCAACACCAAAAUUCCAAGUCUAAUUUGGUUACUGAUAUUGCGUUUAGCUUAAGAAAGGUGUCAAAGCUACAGUGUAAUCAAGUUGUACAUUGAUCCAUUAAUUACAAAAUAACCAUAAUUUGACCAAGAGAAUCUAACUUCACUGGCAUAUCAGAAGGUUAUACUUUUGUAUCUUCUAAGCAAUAAAACUGUGAUGUAACAACACAACUCACAAUCAGAAUGUUUACUAUUCUUUCUGUAUAGAAACGUUGAAUUGCUACUCUUUCUUAGACAUUGGUUCCAAGUUCUAACCAGUUUUAGCACAAGAGACCUACCACCAAGCCUCAUCUUGCAUAUCAGAAGAGCAAACCAAAAAUUGCACCAGCAAAAAAAAAAAAAAGUUAUCCAAUUCCUUUGAACUUAACUUACUUUUUCUGCCAUGGAACAAGAAAAUACAAUUAACGACACAACCAGCUAAUAAUAAUAACUUAUUGGGCCCAAAUCACCGACCCAAAAUGCUUAAACGCAGUCAUUAUUAUUAGGAUGCGAGGCCUCAUAUUUUUCAAAUCAAAACACCUUUCUCAUCCGAUGUGGAACUAUUGGGACGUUACAGUACAAACACCACCAUUCAUAGUUAAAAUAUUCUUCUCGGAGACAUCAAACUCACGCUGGUGUUAGAUUAUAAAUUGACGUGGCACUAAGUAGGAUAUAAGACUUUCAGAGCCCAAAAGUUUUUGAAUUUUAAAAGGUCAGCCCUUUUAACUAUUCAAAAUAUUUCAUGGUACAAGCUUCGCAUAAAUGAAUUUGCUUUAUAAAGAUAUAAGAAACAGAAUCAAGAAUCUAAAACUACAGAAAAAUUGCAGAACUUAUAACUAGACUUUAUAAGCUCUUAACUCACUGGAAAGAGGCUACAAUUCUACCUUAUUAUCCUGAGCUCAAAUCAGAAGACUAUACCUAAGUUCCUAACUGCUUUGGCAGUUGCUUACGUCCUCCGAAUUGCAGAUAGACAGUAUGAAUUUGCUUUCUGAAACCAGUUUCAACAGAUACUGGUAGAUAUAACUUUUGGGAGUCAACUCAUAUCAAAUAAACAGAGCAGAUAUGAUUAAAGAACAGAAAGUAUUAGUGGUGUCAUAUAAGAAACUCUACCUCAAGCUUCUCAGGUAACAUAUAGAUAGAGUAAUCAAAUUAGUAAUCAAGUUACGAAUUCUCUCCAAGACGAAGCAUAUUUGAGAAUAGCUAAUUGAGCAAGUUAACCAACACCUCAAACACAGCUAAUUUCAUUAUUCAAGACCGCAAAGUGAGAUACUUUGACUUUCACUUGCUGCCACCUCAAUGUACAAGUUACUAGGCAUCUCAUACGCUGCCACUUGCUACCAGCCAAACAACUCGCAUACUCUGACAAUGGAAAUAAAAAUCUCAAGUACUCCUGGGUACUAGUAUUCCAUUCAUUGAUGAAUUUUGACAAAAGAACAUAUAUUUUGAGUUACUCUCCUCCAAACAAGAAUGGAGGUAAACGAUAUGGCAUAAACAAAUAUAAAAUGGCCAAACAAUUUAAUCAACCAUAGGUUAGUAACUGCAAUGCCCCUUAGAAGAUACUAGUAAUGUACCUGCGCUUUGCAGCAAGUGCGAUUUUCAAGUUCACAAUUAUUAUAUUAUACGUUAUGUAAAGUCACUUAAUAGAGUCAAAUAAUAAGUACGAGGGUGUCACCCUAAACCCUAAACUCUAUCAUCAAAAACAACUUAUGAGUAUGAGGGUGAUCGUACUCAUAAGAGUAUAGUAGCCGGACUCUAUAUAUAUAUAUAUAUAUAUAUAUAUAUUUAUGUAUUCAAAUUCCAAGCUCAUGAUCCAUUACAUCUUGAUAGUUUUUGUACCUCUGGAUUGCUUUUUGAUCACAUGAGUAUGAUGAAUGUAGGUUUUAAGUAUUCUUAUAAAUUAUGUUUUGACGCUUGAUGUAUUUGGAUUAAAAUUUACAUUUUUAUGAAAUUGGAAUAAUUUUGAAGCAUCUUGUGUGAAGAUACAAUGUUUAAGUACUUAAAAUUUUAACAUUGGUUGUGGAGCUUGGAAUUUGAUAGUAAACAGUUUGAGUUGUCAAGUAUGGAUUAGAACUUGUUAUUGCGGGUCUUAGUAGUGCAUUGAUCGGUUUUCUUAUCUUAUUAAUCGUUGCAUUUCUUGUUUUUUUAUUUUAGUUUUGGUUGCCUUUUUUUUUUUUUGUUACAACAUUAAUUAGUAUUUUAAGCGCAAUGACGGCUUAACUUGUUUUAAUUCACAAUUAAUUUUAUUUUAGUUGCCAUUUUUGACUUAAUAUACUAUGUAUUAAGAUAUAAGUACAUAUCUCACUUAGUUAUCUACUAUAGUUGUUAUAUCUUACUUGUGCCUAUGUUAGCCCAAAAUAAAGCUCAAUCAUUACAAAUUGGCACUUUCCAUCCUAAAAAGACAUGCAAAUCUAAGAUCUUUAGUAUAUCUAGAAUAUAAGUACUUAAGCCACAAUCAUCUUUUAAAGCUCCCAGAUUAAAAUGAACACGUAUAAUUACUCUAUUACAAUAAUAACUGCAAAUCAAACUAGAGAGGCAAAAAACAAUAAUAAGGAAAUAAGGUGGAGGCAAAAUUGAUUUAUUGUAUCUAAUUAGUACUUCAAAUAAAGUGCUAGUGCUCUAAAGUCUUAACCUAAACAUAGUUAGCUAACAGCUUCACAUUAAUAAAACAUACAAGACUGGCACCUUGUGAAAACUGUAUUACUAACAACUAAAACAAUUUUUAAUAAAGUGUUAUGUCAAUUUAAAAGUCUUGCCACAAAAUAACCUUGCAUUUCUUCUAUACAACUUUCUAGUUUAUUCAUAAUGUUAAUAUGCUAAUGAAACACCACUCAAAACUAUGUAUGAAACCCCUAUGGCGUUACAACAUAAACAUAUUGUGCAUAAUUUACUGCAAACAUGUAUUCUAAUAGGUCAAUAAAGGGGUCGGUGGAUAGCUACAUAGGACUAGCUUGGAGUUCUAUAACCUAGCAUUUUAUGUCAUUAAUUUACAGAAUCAUAUCUUUAAGUGUAUCGUAGCAACAAAAAGUAUUGUAGCUUCAUAUUCUAAUAAAAAUAUCAUAAUCUAUCGGUCAACAUACUUUUCAUUCCUAGUAAGAAGUUUCCUUGUAGUAGCGAAACAAAUUUUAAAGGAAAUGGAAUCCUCUGGUAGAACCAUAACUAGAAAUAUGAACAGUCUUGGAACCAACAUAGUAAUUGGUGGUACUCUUCCAUGAAUAGCAUUCAUGUCAUAGACAUAAAUGAUCAAACUUCAUAAUUUCUGUUACUGAGGCUACAUAUCUGCUAUAUGGUAUAAAAAGAGUUAAAAGUGGCACAUGUAGACAAAAAUAAAUACAGUUGGACCCUGAAACUAUAAUAGGGAACGCCACGUAAACUAACAUACAAUAAACUCAAAAGCAACAACAAGAACUAGACCUUUUAACCCCAACUAGGGGUGGCAAUCCAGCUCGCUGUUCGCGAGCCAGCUCAUGUUCGGCUCGAAAUGAGCUCGAGAUUGAAUCACUCGUUAAGUAAACGAGUCGAACACGAGCUGAAUUUUUCAACUCGUUUAAUAAACAAGCCGAACACGAGCUGAGGUCAGCUUGCUCUUGCCCGGCUCACUAAUAACUCGAAUACAUAUAUUUUAUAUUUAUAUAAUUUAUAUAAUUUAUAUUUAUAUAUAUAAAUUAAUUUUUAUAUAUAUAUAUAUAUAUAUAAUAUAAAUUUUAUUAUUGAUUUUUAGUCCAAUCUAAAUACAAAGCCCAACUCAAUUAUAAAAAGACUCAUUAUAUGUAAUGUUUCAACAAUUACAUCACAAUUUAAUGAGUAAGAUCUAAAAAAAUUAUUUCUAUAUAUAUCCUUUAAUGUUCGUGAGCCAGCUCGUAUUCGGCUCAUUAAUAAACGAGCCAAACGCGAGCUAAAUUUUUCAGCUCGAUACUUUAACGAGCCAGCUCACGUUUAGCUCUACACGAGCCAAACACGAGCCGGCCCUAGCUCGCUCAUGUUCAGCUCACUGACACCCCUAACCCCAACUAUAGCCAUAGCAUAAUAAUCAGUUGUAGCAAUUAUGCUGCCCUUAGCUUAUUCCAGACUACAGAAGAUGUCUGACGCAAGAUGCUAGCUGCUUGCAAAGACAUUUUUGGAGAUAAACAAGUUUGGAUGCAUGUUUUUUCAUCUUCAUAACACCUUUUUACUUGCUCAAUUGUAACUGACUAGAUCUUGUAUGGAUGCUAGAAUUCCAAUUCAUGAACAGUUUCAGGAUUAAUCAACCAAAAGAAAAUACAAAUAAACAUAGUGAAAGUGACAUUAUCUCUAUCCAAGAGAAAGUUGCGACCCACUUUGACCUAUGUUACCCUCUUUAGAUCAAGGACCAGCUUAAAUACAUAUUCAAACACCAAACAUACCAUUAUUGCGGAAAUCACAUAAAUAUUCUACAACACCAUUACAGAUCUGCAACUGCUCUUGCAUAUUUCAACUUUUGUUUUAUAUAGUUUUCACGAGGAAAUGGGGUAUGAACACUAAUCAACUUGACUUCUUGACAUUUUUUUUCAUAUUUUCUUCGGUUUGUACAGAUAAGAGAGCAUAAUAGAAGAAUGUGAGAUACAACAACGAACAAAGAAAAAAGAGGGAUAUCACCUCUCGCUGAGGGAGAUCCUUUGGGAGAAAGCUUCCAAUAGUCUUCCCAACACCUCACAAGUGGAGAAGUGAAUGAGCCGCUUGUUGUUUUCAGAGCAAUACUUAACCUGCAUUGUUAUGCCCCGGCAAAAGGCCAGUGGGAAAUAAGGGAGACAGUAGGCAGAGAUCUGGAUCGGAUCUGUAUGAAUCACACAAUACUUACCACCGGAGGGGCAUUGAAGAAAUUGCUGUAUAUGGUAUCCAGUAGGUGGGUAUUGUAUUCUGCAGGGGUACAAAUGGCCGCCAGGUUGAUCGUCUGUGUUACAAAAUGAGAGAGGUUAGGAAUGGGAACGGAUGAUUCCUUUCUGCUAAACCCUAAGGAAUCCAUCGAGACAACGCUAUAGAUACUAGGAACGAAGAAGAAGGAGAAGGCAAGAGAAGCCAGAAAGACCGCAGGAGGGAAGAAACAAGUUACAGGUGAGGAAGCAAAUAAAAAGAUGGCAUCCAAGGGGAGAAGCGGAUCUGCAGAAAGGGAGGCCAAUGGGAGCUGCAGGGGAGGGACCUGUUAGCGGGGGAGCAAAUGUGUGUGUGUGUGUAAGUGUGUGUGUGUGUAUGUAACAACCCUGAAGAAUAAAUAGUAGAAGUAGUAGCAGUUAGCAUGGGAGAGUAGUAAAAAUGUCAACUUUACAAAGUAGAGCAGAGAAGUGACAGAAGGAGGUUGGUGAGGAGUGAGCUCGGCGGAGCGAUCCGGCGGGAAGGCGUUCGGGCGGAACUCCGGCGGGAAGGCACCUUCGAAGGGGCUCAGGCGAGCUCGACGGAGCUAGGGCAUCCUCAGAGCUCGGAGAGAGCGACGGGAGGUCCGACGGAAUCCAUGUAGUUGGGGCGCAGGAGAGAGCUGACGGAUCGGGCGGUCGGAUUACCGGAUCGGGCGUAAAACACGGACCCAAGCCCCGCCGGGUUGCAGAUAGUGCAGAGAAGGGCGGACCCGAGUCCGUUUGCCCGCCUCCCAGGCGGUUUGGACCAAACAAGCCCACCCGAGGCCCACAAGGCAUUCAGAUUCAACCCAUCAGGCCUCAUUCCCAUUUUUGACAAAUUGCUGUUAAGUCCUCUUAGGAUAGUUUAAUUUCAAUUCAGUACAAGUUGUUGAGUCACUAUAUAUACCAGAAUGUAAUUGCAACAACACAUCAAUAAAAAUGAAUUAGUCUAUUUCUCCCCCAAAAGUUCUUCUCCAAACCCUUCUUCUUCUCUAUCCCUUAUCUCUAUCCCAACUCUUUUCCCUAACCCUCACCUCUCAAUUCUCAUCUCUGUCUAUCUCUCUACCUCUAUUUCUCUUCUCUCUAUCUCAAUCCCAAUUUCUAUCUCUAUUUCCUUACCUCUCUAGCCUCGGUUACCGAUUACGUUACCUCGGAUCCGCGACCGGAAGCACCAAGAACCUGAUCC
rnacentral:lncRNA from 1 species